AAAUGAAACCGACCGCACUCUCUGUUACUAAUAAUAAAACUAAGCAGGAUGUUCCGUAGUUUAAAGAAAAACCAUGGAGAUGACCUGUCUCUCCUGUAAAUGCUUCAUCUGUCUUUUCUGCAGUGAUUCGGUUGGACUAUAAUUCUCCUAUCAACUCGGCACUGUGAUUGCACUGCAUUUGGAACAUGAAAGGAGCAGGAUUGCUGGCUGAGGAAGGCAGCUGAAUGGCAUCCGAACUGCUUCAAGAACACUUAAAAUAAAUAUGAGCAA